AACGAACCCAUUGAUAUCUUAACAUUUAACACAUUAAAAUGAAGAAGGCUGAUUUAUAGCACGAAGCUUAAGGUUUAACCUUACUGGAUAAGUAACCCUUAUCGUUUAAAUAUAUGCCCUUAAGAUAAUGUGUUAAAUGUGUUUGAUCUAACCGAGUGCCGUUUAAAAUAUGAAUUUACCUAUGUAAAGCGCUAGUGCACAGAAAAUAUCCGACUAUGGGGGUUGGUCAACAUUACCAAAGCUAGCUGAUUAUUUGCACCGCUAUGGGUAGCUAUUGCAUUUGUAGUGCGUUAAGGCAGAUACAAUGGACCAAUGUCUACUACAUGCAGGGCUGUAAGGCCUUCUGACAUCCUGAAAAUGGCCCAUGGACAGAGAGAAUGUGGUCCCCCUCGAACCUGCUAUUCUGCAUAUUUAUGAAAUGAGCUAAGCCUAGAAUAUAAAGAGGACCAGGACCUCAAAGAGCCAUCUGCAUUGUUAUUUCAGAUCCAUAGGAUUGGUUGGGGGUAAAAGAAGAAAAUCCACAUGACCAGCAAGAAAGAUGGCUCAUCUCAUUACCCCGGCGCUGCAUCAGUUCGCCCCACGCACUAUGAAAAUCAGUGAUUUGGGCAUAGCUGCACAGCAGUACGUCCUCAACACAGCCCCGCGUCUCUCCGAUCCCCCGCAAGCACGUUCGGCGCUUCUCUUCUCAGGUGAGCGCUCACGCAGUUCGCAGCCUUCAAAGUCGUCACUGUGCGCUGCGGCUGCCCCCCCCGGAACGGGAGCUGCUUCCCUUUUAAUCCCCAGCAGCUGUGGAGCUCGCUGAGAGCGGCUCAUUGUUCCUGUACUGCAGGCAGGUCUGUGUGGUAAACAAAAGGCUGACCUCCCUGCCCUAGGCACCGUAGCAGACUGACAGCGCAGUCACCACAGCUUCCCAUACACACAGCACAUCUGUUUCUGCAUUAGACACCACAGAUAGUAUCUCUUUCACCAUGUCUUUCCCUCUGUCUAGUGUAUCUCUGUCUCACGCUAUCUGUAGUGGCUAGUUCUCUCUCGCUCUUGCUCACUGUCUGUCUUUCUCCCCCUGUCUGUCUCUGUCAAAAUAUUCAAAUAUGAAAGUUAGGAUGAAUUCAUUGGCUUGUUGAGGUGUCAUUCAGCUGUCCUUAUGAGUGUUUCUUGGUGGGGCUCUUGAAAUUGCAGGCAGCGGACUAACAGUAAAGUGCACUUUCGCUAUAUUUUCAAGAAGAAACUUAGAACUUAAGUCUAAAAUACUUAAGUCUACAAUUUAUGAUACAAGGUUUAUAUGUUGUUUGUGAAUGGUAUAAUUAAAGAAUAGUUCAAGGAAAUACUACGAGCGUACUUAAAAUGGACCAGUUUAGUUUUUUUUUAUAGUACUGUAAAAUAUACUUUAAAAUAAACUUGAUGUACUUAAGUAUACUUAAAAACAUUAACUUUUAUGUCCUACUUUUUGUAAGGGGUACUUUAAGACUUGGCAAACUGAAGACAGCAGAGAGCUUGAACUAUUUUUAAACAUGAGAGGGAUAAGGGAUUUACACCAGGAAACUGUUGACAAAAAGCAAUUCAAUUUCAUGUGUUAAAUCCUUUGUCAGCAAACAAUUAAAGGUGGCUGACACAAGAUGGAGGGCUUGAUAAGCUGUAAAUACAAAAUUUCUACCAUUUUGGAAACCACCAAAAGCUAGUUGAUGACUUCCUGUGGAGGAUUGUACCUGAUUGAGUACACUAUUGCAACCGAUUGCUAAGUUCCCCUAUUUAUCUGAGUGUUUUUGUCUUUUUGGUGAAUGUGCUGGCUUUUGGAUAUUUGUGUAAAGUGCACUUUAAAGUGCAAGAAAAUAAAUGCUGUUGGUGUUAAUUAGUCAGGCUCAGCUAAAAGAUGCAUGUUGUGUGAAAUGGCAGAUGCUCAUGUGUAUUGUGUUGCCCCCUAAUUUUUUAGAGAACAUAUUUUCUUUGUCCUCUCUCUUUUACUUUCUCGGUAUAUAUACAGUGUGUAAAUUUGAAUAAAAGAGUGGAAAAGCAUCAGAAAUGCAGCUGCUUCCAUACAGGUGUACUUUAUGAUACAAUUAAGCAAUUAACAUCCUCCUAGCAUGCUCUGUGGACUGUUGAAAAAUGCUGAGCAGGCCCAGUUGACCUUGAUUUUGGAUGGCAAGAUGGCAAGAGAAAACAACUCAAGUGACUUUGAAAGAGGGUUCAUUAUUGAAGUGUGGUCACAAAGACUGCUCAGCUGGGUAGUGUUUCAAGAGUAACAGUGACUAAAGUGACAUCUGCAUUUAGAUCCAUUUAGAGACUAAGGAGCAUUGAAGCUGCUCUGGUGGCUCAUGGUGUCUCAACAUGCUACUCAGACUCUUUAUGUUGGUUUUUCCUUUAAUUUGUCACUCGUCUGUGUAUAUAUGUAGAAUUAUCUGUCGUUGUUAUCUUUUGCUAUCUGUCUCUAGUCUGUCGCUUUCGUUAUCUACGAAAUCAUUAUCAUUGUCUAUUGUGCAGUCUGCCCCGAAAGCUGGUGUCUUCAUGUAAUCUCGAAAGGCUAUCGCCUCAUACCAGAUGAAGGAUAUCAGUAGGGUGACCAGACGUCCUGCUUUUCCUGGGACAGUCCUGUAUUUCAGCCUCUUUUCAUGUGCCCUGACUUAUUCAGAGAACAUCUUGAUUUGUCCCGUAUUGUAUUUGUAUUAUAUUUCAUUGGGUUUUUUCACUGUAGUUGACAUCAUUGUACAAUCUCAUUGCAUUAUGUACUUGGUCCUCCAGGAAUCUGGGAACCUAGAGAUCACAAUCAUAGUCUUUCAAUGGCAGUCAGUAUGCUGAAGCAGCUUGUCACUGAUAUAAACAGCACUGAAAACCCAAACCUCAUGGGCCCUUAUGGAAGAACAAUAUGAACCUGCCUAGAGAUGUACAUCAGAUUUAACUGUGUGUGAUAUAUUUAUUUAUCAUAUUUAAUAUAAUAUAUUUUUUGCACAUUAUAGUCACAUAAAGGCUCAUUGUUAUGCUCACAUAAAAGCUUUUGUGUCUCCAUUGAUAAUUUUGAUUGUUGAUAUGUGGCGUGGUAUGCAUUUUUUUGAUGUUAUCAUGUUCCUUUCAUUCACAUACAGGUAUGAAACAAAGAAAAGAGUCAAACUUGAGUAAACUACUGUGAUGAAUGAAGAAUGUAAGAUAAGGGAUUGAACAUGUGAUGUGCAGGUCUGGGGAACAUGAUGAAGUCUAACUUGUCCAGAAAACAAUAUACAAUGAGGCAUAUUUAUAUAUAAAUGCUGAAGGUAAAAUUGAUGGAUAUGUCAAAAAGGUGAUUUAGAAACUAGCUGGCGUUUAUAUAUUUCUAGAAAGUGAGCUCUAUAUACAGUACAAUGUGUAGCACUAGCAAAAACCCUGCUUCUCCAGGAGCAAAAUUUUUACUUGGAAGUGAGAAGAAAGCUGGCAACAGCUGACCUGAGUUGGCGGCAAGAGCAUGCUUGUGCAGCAUUUGCAAUGAGGCCCGCCCAUUCAAAGCCUUGUAAAUCAGAAUCAGGAGCAGAACUUUGUUGCAAAUUUUGAGUUUGAAAAGGAGCCACUGAAGCUUCAAAAGUAGUGCGCAGAUGUGUUCACUGGGUUGUGUGUAUGAGUGUAUUUUUAACAAGCUGUGCCAAGUGCAUUAUAAUCUUGUAGUGGUAAAAAUGUGCGACAGAACUCUGAAUCACUUAAAGGUGUCAGAGUGAUGCUAUGGGGAUAGCAAGUCAGUAGGGCUGUAUUUGUGCAGCCAGGUAAAUGAAAUUAGACCUCAAAUAUCAAGAUAAUGGUUACCAAGGUUUUGCUUCCACCUUGUGGAUAAAAAUAUUCUGCAAAAUUUGGGAGUGAGACAAACACUGGUGGAAUUUAUAUUGCUUUGUGAAUGCAAGCCUCCAUGAUACACUCUCGGAAAAGAUUCAUAUUUUAUUUUUUGCUUUUUGGGUUAUAUGAGCUCCUGCUUGAAACAUUAUAGGGUGUGCUGACAGGAUGGUCAGGGCACUGUGCAUGUGAUAGUAGCACAUAUAUGAACCCAGAGUUGUGCUACAUUCCGUCUAAGCAAAAAGUAGCAAUAGGGCUGCUUAAAUGCAUAGCAUUUACUGUACAGUUUCAGCUGUGAAACUGAAUAAGGGCUGCUGGGAAAAUAAUAAAUGUAAUACUAGCUUGUGAAUGUCAAGAUCACUGGGGUCAUGAUCCAGUCACUAAGGAAAAGCAGGAUGAAUCCGUGUUUUUCUCUUUCUUUCACAUGAUAAAUCCAUGUUAAUUUAGAGUAUCUCGUUUCUUAGUAUGGAACUUCCCCUACUCUGUGUGUAAAUGUACUGCCCGUGCGGCAACUUCCUUGCUCAUAUGAUUUUGUCAAUCCAAGGGCAGACACAGUAUCAACCGUAUAAAGUCAAUAAUUUAUUCAAGCACAUGCAAAAAAUGAAGGAUCUUAUUUAAUCAGAUUUUUAUUUAACACAAGACAGCACAAUUAUGUAAUAAGCAUAUGGAAUAACACAAUUGUGUCUGUCAAAGCGGAUUAAGAGGGGUGGUACCAACAGUAGCUGGAAACUGUAUGUUUAAUCGAAAAAUUCAAAUUAUCAUGGGCCCCAGUAUUGUAACCUUGUGAGUGGUGAAAACCUUUAUUUCUUCAGUAAAUAUCCAGCUAUGUAAAUGGCCAAAAUGUAGGCUACAAGAUGCAAACUCUGUACAUUUCCCUGGGUAAUGGUGUCUGCUAAGCAAAUAAAUAAUGUAAGGCAGGAGUUUGUGUGUGCGAGAAUAGACUCAUUAUUGUUUGAUAGAGAUUUUUACAUUCAUGGGAGCAGCUGGGAGCCUCAGCCUCUCCCGCUCAGUCUGACAGAGCCUUUCAUCCUGGCCAAUAACGGUGCCUGUCAGCCACUGAAAACCCUACGCUGCUUCAAAAAACUUCUACAUGAAAUAUUGAUGAGCUCCUUUGGAAACUGCUGCAGAGAUACAGCCCCAGUCCAACAAAACCACGCUUAUGAACAGUGGUCAGUUGCAUUAACAUUAGGUUGUCCCUUAUACGUCCGCUUUUGGUCCCCUAUAGGAGCAAAAUGAUAAGCUGUGCCAGUCUUCUGCACUGUAACAAUGAAGAACAAUCAACCGUGCUGUUUCAUGUAAUUUCACUGUAUAUUAAUAUCAUCAGCAUUAUUGAUCUUUAUCCUCAUUAUUCGACUUUUAUGAUAUAGAGACAGAUACACAUGACGUGUAAAUGAAAAUUUGUUAUUGCAUAUGUUCCCAGAAUAUAAGUGUGUGGUGUGUGUGUGUAUGCGUGCGCAUGUGUAAUCACUUUAUAAGAAUCUAUACGGUCCUGAGUGGCAGUGUGUGUUUUUUCUUGUUGUUUGAAUACUGCACUAUUGAAAUGGGAACAUGACCUAGAAUAUACUGUAUUUUACAGACUAAUGGGAUGUCAUAUAUGUGUAGUACUGAGUAGCAUUUGAGAUUGACUGAAGUUGGAAGCUCUGUUGGUUCUCCUUACAUGCAAAGAACCUUAUUCUGUUACCCGAAGUUUAAAGCAUUUGUUUUAGACUGUGACUGAUCCUGUCAUGGAGACAGGCCGUAAUGGUUAAUGUAAUACAUUGAUUUUGGGGGGAUGAAAGGGUCUCUGCUGCUCCCUGCUGGUCAAAAGUAGAGCUGUUAAUGUGAAGCAUUAUUCUCUAGUGUGUUGUAAAAUGGAGAACAUUGACUACAAAAUCUCUCAUUGCAAAAUAGUUCUGCAGCAAUUUCUUUGCAAUGUCAUUGAGGACAUGCAUAUGUAAACAAAAGUGAAAUUUAUUCAUAGUACUGGAGAGAACUAAUUUAGGAGACGGAUAAGAUGCUUGAUGGUAAAGUGAAAAAAUGUAGAUUAGUACAGUACUGUGACACACCACCCCUAUUGUGCUCAGCCGGUGAACGUGGACAAAUUUGUUGAUGGUUCAGUGCAGGUGUAAUGAUCUGUUAUAACAACGAAAAGUGACUGAUAAAUACCUUCCACACCUUAAAUACACUUAUAUAUAUGUGUGUGUGUGUGCGUAUUUCUAUGUCUGUGUGUGGGUGUAUGUGUGUACUUGCAUGUCUGUGCGUGUGUGAAUGCAUAUGUUAUAUCUGCGAUCUCUCCUUUCUCCAUGGACCAAUAAAUCCCACACCCACAUAUCAGAUGUCGAUUCAUAAUGGAUUUAGAUUCAGGGAAUAAAUGUGACAAAUAGUAACCUGUCAUGUGAAUUGGACUGCAGUUGUAUUUUAAGCACAUUUUCCUAAAGAGCAUACACAAAGACGCAAAAGCUGAGGGAGCCUGGCAGCGUUCCCAUUCAAAAGAAUUACAUCAGAAAGUGGACUUUGGCUGUGUGCUGAAACAGCAAGCCUUUUGAUGGCGUUUUCUGUCUCAUUCAAACUGAACUGAACGGCUCGAGGACUGCUGAGUGACUCAUCAUGUAGACGUCAAUCAUUCAUGACUUAGCCUUUAUAUUCCUUCGGGAACAUAGGCCACUGGCCAAACACAGUCACCCCCUUCUGUCCUGGGCAACAGAUCUUCGAGGUGUAAGAAGAUUUAGACGCAUAAUCUCCAUGUGUCUUUCACUGAGCCUCGUUUCUUCUGCUCUAUUCAAAGAGGCUGCUCCCAGGACCAGUGUCUUGGUGCGGUUAGUCAUCAUUUCUGUCAUCAUUUUGAAACACCGCACAGGUGAUUAGCCUUUUCUCUGCUGCAGUUUUGUCCCAGAAAGAAAAAUACUGUAGCCAGGUUUCUGUUAAAUAAUUUGAACAUAAUUACAGUAAGAUGCCCAGAGUGGCAAAGGGGAAAACUUUUAUUACACAACAAUAAUAGAAAAUGAAAGUAUAUUAUCUAAAAUCCAUGUCUAUAAUAUAUAUAGUAUAUUCCCAGCCUGCUGUCGACAACAUCUCGUAUAUGCAAAAUGGAAUGAUGUUGUCUACCAAUGAUGCUUCAACACAGCUAAAAACAGAAAUAUGUUCCAAAGCACUCUUUACAUAGCAAAAUGCCUUGAUUUAGAAUGGCAUGUCUUUGUUGAAAAUAAAAUGGGAAGAUCCCAAGCUGAAAUGCACAAAAUAGGUCAGCGAUUGGCCAAAUUUUUGUUCCCUAUCUAAAUAAAUCUAAAUAAAAUAAAGGCAUUUUAAUCGAAGAAGGAUACUCAGGCAUCAUCAUUUUUAUUGGUUACAUAAUCUUGUUUCAAAGAGCACAUUUGAGUACUUGGUUUUUUAAAAUCUAUUUUGCUGACUAGCAUGUUCAAACUCAGAUUUCAUGUCCAAAGUUGCACUCAAUAAGGUGUGCACAGUUAAGACAAUUUACUACUGACAACCUUCUGAGUACCCGGUAAUUACAAGACAAAUAAAAAAAAUAUGUAUUUACACCUUUAUGACAGGCAUCUUCAAAAAAAAAAAAAAAACAGCAUCAUUUACUGAACACAUAUUUAUUGGCGCAUCUUAAAAAACAAU